ACGCAUCGCCCAUCGACACCUUUCCUCGCACGAUGCCGCAGAGCCGCUCCCUCCUCCUUUCUAUCGCAGUCAACGCGCUUCUCGUCGGAGUCCUCCUCUACUCCGUCGCUUUCGCGGGCCAUGG
rnacentral:ribozyme from 1 species